UACGUAGGGGGCAAGCGUUGUCCGGAAUCAUUGGGCGUAAAGAGCGUGUAGGCGGCCAAAUAAGUCCGCUGUGAAAUCUCGAGGCUCAACUUCGAGCUGUCGGUGGAAACUGUCUGGCUAGAGUCCGGAAGAGGAGAAUGGAAUUCCUGGUGUAGCGGUGAAAUGCGCAGAUAUCAGGAAGAACACCCGUGGCGAAGGCGGUUCUCUGGGACGGUACUGACGCUGGAGACGCGAAAGCGUGGGGGAGCGAACAGG
rnacentral:rRNA from 1 species